UUGUAAUAAGGGCAAAUCCAUCGAAAGGUGGAGACGCAAAGCGUAGGGUCUAAGGUGCCACCGGCACUAUGACAGCCUGGCUGCUACA
rfam:Peptococcaceae bacterium CEB3 CEB3_contig000032, whole genome shotgun sequence.